rnacentral:rRNA from 1 species
UGAGGAAUAUUGCGCAAUGGGGGCAACCCUGACGCAGCGACGCCGCGUGAGUGAGGAAGGCCUUCGGGUCGUAAAGCUCUGUCAAAGGGAAAGAAAUGCAUAAUGGCUAAUACCUGUUAUGUUUGACGGUACCCUUAAAGGAAGCACCGGCUAACUCCGUACCAGCAGCCGCGGUAAUACGGCGGGUGCAAGCGGUGUUCGGAAUUACUGGGCGUAAAGGGCGCGUAGGCGGUUUGAUAAGUCAGAGGUGAAAGCCCACGGCUUAACAGUGGAAGUGCAUUUGAAACGGUCAGACUUGAGUACCAGAGGGGAAAGUGGAAUUCCCGGUGUAGAGGUGAAAUUCGUAGAUAUCGGGAGGAAUACCGGUGGCGAAGGCGACUUUCUGGCUGGAUACUGACGCUGAGGCGCGAAAGCGUGGGGAGCAAACA